CCCAGGCAGACCAGGCUUCCCAGGACAGAAUGGACAGAAUGGGCAACCAGGAGAAAGAGGACAACCAGGAGAGAAGGGUGAUAAGGGAUCUCCAGGUGUUGGUGUUCAAGGACCCAGAGGACCUCCAGGACCACCUGGUCCCCAGGGACAGGGCAGACCAGGUAGCUCUGGACCCUCAGGACGACCUG